AGAGUUUGAUCCUAGCUCAGGAUGAACGCUGGCGGCGUGGAUAAGGCAUGCAAGUCAAACGGUUCUUAUAUUUAUAUAUGAACAGUGGCAAACGGGGUAGUAACACGUGGGAACGUACCUAGAAGUCGUGAACAACCCAUCGAAAGGUGGGCUAAUACACGAUGGUCUCGAAAGAGUAAAGAUUUAUCGCUUCUAGAACGGCCUGCGAGGUAUCAGUUAGUUGGUAGGGUAACGGCCUACCAAGACGAUGACGCCUAGGGGAGCUGAGAGGCUGACCCCCACCAUUGGAACUGCGACACGGUCCAAACACCUACGGGUGGCUGCAGUCAAGAAACUUCCCCAAUGCACGAAAGUGUGAGGGAGCGACGCCGCGUGGUUGAUGAAGCCCUUCGGGGUGUAAAAACCUUUUAUGUGUGAGAAAGUAAUUGAUGUUAGCACAUGAAUAAGAGGCUGCUAACUCUGUGCCAGCAGCAGCGGUAAUACAGAGGCCUCAAGCGUUAUCCGGAAUCACUGGGCGUAAAGGGUGCGUAGGUGGCGUUGUUAGUCGUAUGUCAAAGACCCGGGCUCAACCCGGGGGCGGCAUACGAAACGGCAAUGCUUGAAUAUGUGAGAGGUGUGCUGAACUCUAGGUGUAGGGGUGAAAUCCGUUGAUAUCUAGGGGAACACCAAAUGCGAAGGCAGCACACUGGCACAUUAUUGACACUGAGGCACGAAAGCGUGGGUAGCGAAUGGGAUUAGAUACCCCAGUAGUCCAUGCCCUAAACGAUGUUCAUUAGCUAUACGGAGUAUCGACCCUCUGCGUGGCGUAGCUAACGCGUUAAAUGAACCGCCUGGGAAAUACGAUCGCAAGAUUAAAACUCAAAGGAAUAGACGGGGACUCGCACAAGCGGUGGAUCAUGUGGUUUAAUUCGAUGAUAAACGAAGAACCUUACCAGGGUUUGAAACUGAACUGAAAGCUCCAAGAAACUGGAGCCCUCGCAAGACUGUUCAGCAGGUGAUAGAUGGUCGUCGUCAGCUCGUGGCUUGAGUUGUNNNNNNNNNNNNNNNNNNNNNNNNNAACCCUCAUCGUGUGUUACAAGUGUCACACGAGACUGCCCAGCCCUAAGCGCACAAAGUGCGCAGUGAUUAGUGGCUAGUGCUUAGUGAUUAGGAAUUUCCUAAAAGCUAACCACUAGAAGCUAACAACUGCGUUCGCUUUGCGAAUUUAGGGCUGGGAGGAAGGGGAGGAUGACGCCAGAUCAGCAUGUCCCUUUGAUACCCUGGGCUACACACGUGAUACAAUGGCUACUACAGUGGGAUGCAAGACAGCAAUGUGGAGCAAAUCCAUAAAAGUAGCCCCAGUUCGGAUUGGAGUCUGAAACUCGACUCCAUGAAGUUGGAAUCGCUAGUAAUCGCAGGUCAGCUAUACUGCGGUGAAUACGUUCUCGAGUCUUGUACUCACCGCCCGUCAAGUCAAGGGAGCCGGUAGCACCCGAAGUCUGCGCAUCGCGUGGCCUAAGGUGAGAUUGGUAACAGGGACUAAGUCGUAACAAGGCACGGGUAGCGGAAGCUGUUCGUG
rnacentral:rRNA from 1 species